rnacentral:rRNA from 1 species
UGCGUAGGUGGCGCCGUAAGUGGGGUGUGAAAUCUCGGGGCUUAACUCCGAAACUGCAUUCCAUACUGCGGUGCUUGAGGACUGGAGAGGAGACUGGAAUUCAUGGUGUAGCAGUGAAAUGCGUAGAGAUCAUGAGGAAGACCAGUGGCGAAGGCGGGUCUCUGGACAGUUCCUGACACUGAGGCACAAGGGGCCAGGGGAAGGCAAACG